CACGCCGAUCUGGUUUGCUUUUGAUGCAUUGACGUUUGAUAACCGCGUGAGUCUAGAGCCAAAGCAACAAUUUUUCUUUUCGAACUUUAACCGGUGCGUAUAGCAAUGCAUCGAAUCAGGUGAGGCCUCAUUAGGACUCGGCUCUUGUGUGUUUUGCGUGUUUUGCAGUGAUGAACUACCUUUCUGAUCUCUUUCGUGACUCUACCGCGUCAUUUUGAGUGAUGAUUUAACAUUGAGACUUGACAGACGUCAAAUGCGGGUACAAACGUGCGUACGUAAUCUAUGAUGCGUGUUCUGUGUGGUACGCACUUACCAAAUGGUUUGGUUUGUACUUCCUGAAUACUCCCUAGAAAGUGCGGUGUUUAGGGAAUGACUGACGUGAAGAGGAAGUCAUUAGACAAGUCUGGUGGUACUGAGAGUUGCCGUGCCAUCAUGGUUAUUUGCUGUGUUCCUGGAUGUACCAAUGUAUCUGCAAAGGGGAAAUAUUUAAAGUUGCACAUGGAAAUUUUUGUCACAUUGAUAAACUUUAUUGCCAUUUGAAUGACUUUGAUUGGUGGUCGCCAAGGGAUACUCUACAUCGAAGUCUACCACAGUCAUUUAGAGAGACUUUCCUGAAAAAAGACCUGCAUCACUGAUGCAACAGAACUAUUUACAGAACGUCAUUCAGAUAGGGGUUUGCAAUCAUCUUCCUUCUUCAAAUACAAACACCACCACACUGUGAAAGCAUUGGUUGCAAUAUCGCCAUGUGGUCAUGUUAUGCUUGUGUCACGACUAUUUACUGGUGCCAUAACAGACAGGGACUUACCAAGCAGUCUGGUUUUCUCAAUAAAUUUGUACCUGGAGAUCAAGUCAUGGCAAACAAAGGGUUUGUUAUUGCUGACAUUCUCAUGGACGUUGGGCAUCUCUUGUGCUACCUCCUUUUCUAAAAGGAGGAGGUCUGUUUACUGAGGAGCGAGUCAUUAAUUAAAUGCCGACAAGUAGCUUCUCUUAGAAUCGACAUAGAGGAGUGAUCAGACGAGUGAUCAGACGGAUAACGAACCAUAGCAUUUUGCAAUGUAUAAAUAACACUUAGUUCAAGCAUGGAUCUUUUGUAUAAGGUAUUCACUGUUUGUUCACAUCUAACAAAUUUGCAUCCACCUCUUGCAUAGAGAAUGUUGCCACGAGUCAGUGUGCAUUGCAAUUAAAACUUCAUACCAUAUUUCAUGUCAACCAGCUUCCUAGAUUUAAUUUUUGUACGGUAAAUUAGUAGUAAUUAGUGUCAUUGAUAUCAAUUUUAGUUUAUAAAGGUCAAUAUAUAUCGGCUCUUGUUAUUAUUCUGUUCUCUUGUGUGUAAUGCUCCAGGAUACACUACCACUUGCUGUUCAAUUUCAUUUUCAUUGUGUACAUCAUUUUUAAUAGUAAUACUCAAUUAUAUUACUACAACAUUAAUUAAUUGUAUUAAUUAACAGAACUUUAUCUACUUGCUACCUAAGGUCCUUUCAUUCCCUAGACGCCGCACGUUCUAGGAAGUAUUCAGUGGGUACAACCAAACCAUUUGGUAA